UACAGAGACCUCAAGCGUUAUCCGGAUUUAUUGGGCGUAAAGCGCGUGUAGGCGGGCUUAUUAGUCAGAUGCCAAAUCUCCGAGCUCAACUCGGAAACUGCAUUUGAAACGGUAAGUCUGGAGAGAGCGAGAGACCAAUGGAACGUAUGGUGUAGCAGUGAAAUGCGUUGAUAUCAUACGGAACACCAAAGGCGAAGGCAUUUGGUUGGUGCUCAUCUGACGCUGAGACGCCAAAGCGUGGGUAGCGAAUGGG
rnacentral:rRNA from 1 species